rnacentral:rRNA from 1 species
UACGAGGGGGCAAGCGUUGUUCGGAAUUAUUGGGCGUAAAGGGCUCGUAGGCGGCCAACUAAGUCAGACGUGAAAUCCCUCGGCUUAACCGGGGAACUGCGUCUGAUACUGGAUGGCUUGAGUUUGGGAGAGGGAUGCGGAAUUCCAGGUGUAGCGGUGAAAUGCGUAGAUAAUCUGGAGGAACACCGGUGGCGAAGGCGGCAUCCCUGGACCAACACUGACGCUGAGGAGCGAAAGCCAGGGAGCAAACGGGG